rnacentral:tRNA from 1 species
UGGAAUAUAGCUUAGUGGUAGAGGCUUUCCUAGCUUGUAUGUGGUUCUGGGUUCCAUCCCCAGCACUGCAG